rnacentral:rRNA from 1 species
AGGAACAAGGUUUCCCUAGGUGAACCUGCGGAAGGAUCAUUACAGAAACUCUUCUAAAGUUUUGUUAUGAGUAAAUAUUCUAGCGCUGCUGAAAAAUUGCGUGCGCGGUUGGUUGCUUGUGAUAAAUCUUUGGGAAAACUCUAUACACUUUGUUUUCUUAUUAGAGACAAACUUGCUUUGGUCAGAUGUGCGUAAAACCACGACUGAUCAGAGAUUAAAAAAAACUCAUUUUUGUUUUCGGGCAAAAAACGUGUAUUAUUCAUAGUCAAAACUUGAAGCUAUUCUUUAUUGAAAUGCUGAACUAAACUUAAAACUUUCAACAACGGAUCUCUUGGUUCUCGCAUCGAUGAAGAACGCAGCGAAGUGCGAUAAGUAAAGUGAAAUGCAGAUUUUCGUGAAACAUCGAAACUUUGAACGCAUAUUGCGCCCUCUGGUAUUCCCGAGGGCAUGCCUGUUUGAGCGUCAUUUCCUUCUCAUAUCCCUAGGAUGUGGUGAUGAGCGAUACUUUCGUAAGAAAGUUCGUUUGAAAAGAAAUGGCACGAGUCUUUCGACAGAUUGAUGCUAUGUUUUCAAAGUAUUAGGUUUACACCAUCGUUGAUUGUAGUAUUGGGCUGUUGAAGUUAUGGGCUUUGCUUUACAAACUUUACCUUAAAGUUUGACCUCAAAACAGGUAGGAUUACCCCCUGAACUUAAGCAUAUCUAAAAGGGGAAAAAAGAA